UAUGAACCUAGAUGGACAGGAAGAACAGUUGUGUCCACGGUAGAAACAGGGAAGUUUGGAGGGGAACUGACGAAAUCACCAAUAAAGAAGAUGUAGAAGAGGGCACGAGACUGAGACUUAGAGGACCCCCACACGACAAGAACUGAAGCUAUAUGGUGAUCUAGCAAAGGAUAUGGAGGAGGAGGAGUCUAUCAGAUAGGUGGAAAAGCAGCAAGAGAAGGAUUCCAGAAGGAUAUCAUGGUUGGCAGUGUCAAAAAGCUGCAGAGAGGUCACAAAGGAUAAAUAAUGAGAAAAUACCAUUGGGUUUUACAGCUAGGAGACCUUAAAAGAGAGCCUUUUCAGCUGAGUAUGGGGCAAAAAGCCAGAUUGUAAGAGACUCAAUACCAACUAAGCACCCUGUUUGUGGACAAAAGGGACAUUGAGAAACCAGAAUGACUGAGCAAUUCUUGGUAGACCAGUGCAGCCUCAAGGCAGCCUUUGGCUCAAAAAACAAAAAAAACAAACAACCCAGCAGGAGAAAAGGAGAUUUUUGGAUGACCCUCCAGCUUGAGCACAUAAAGCAAAGAAUUUUUUAAACUGAACUUUGACCUCCUAAGCCUGUUGUUACAUGCUUGGAAUCAUAAAUACUUUGUGAUUGUGAUAAGGUGUGCUCUCAAUGUACUCACCCGGGAAUUGGAUUAAAAAAACCACUUUAGUGUUGUUUUAAUCAUUAAA